rnacentral:lncRNA from 1 species
CAUCAAGUGAGGGAAUUUUAGUCUUCAAUCACCCACAAUAAAAAUACACAAGUCAAAAUGAUACCAUAUGCAUUAUGUUGCAUGCAGGUGUCACAGUCAAAUGAAGACAGUCUGUGUUUAUUUGAAAAUAGAAGAAAAAUGAGGAUGUAUGCCCUUUCCAAACACCAUUAUCCAGGGAUAGAUCAAAUAAGGUCAAAUUUUAACCUGGGAAAGAAAUUCUUGGAUAACCAUUUGAAUCCCCACUGCCAAAGGAGUAUGUCGUCUCCCACUUGAUAGCUAGUCAAAUCAAAAUCAGUGAAGAAGUAUGGCACAAUUGCUCCAAUCUUGGUGAGUCAAGUCUUAACUAUAUGAAGUGUUAACUGCAUUGAAAAAUUUUGUGUGGUAUUUAAGGAUAGGGAUAUAUUAUAUAUAUCUGGACUCAACUAUGGUAUGG